CUCCAGCUCCUUCUUCAGCAAAGGCUCCACCCGGUCCCACUCCUGCCGCUCCGACACGAUCACUAUAUCUGCGCCGAGGCUCCUCUCCACACAGGAAAGGGGUCAUCAUCACCUAGCAGAGACCUGGAGCACCACUAGGAUAUUAGCACAAUUCCUGUUAAGCGUGACUGACCACUUCCUGCUCCCUUGCUGCAGCACCAGCAUUCCUUAAUGACAGGAGCACAGGGAACUGAGCUGGGGCUGAAAAAAGCUGACAUCUGGAGACACUACACAUGUACUUCAGAGACCAUGUUAUCAAGAGCAAGGGACAGGAAGACGACCCAGAACCCCUCUGUGAAGACCGCAGAACCCAAUUGCCCUGUCAGGGGGUGAAGGGUAUCUGUAAAAACUCUGUCAGAGACUCAAGAACUUACAAAAUCUGAACAAAUCUGCAAAGUUUAUUAGAAGUGUGCUGUUACAAAUAAACUGACAUCCACCUAGAAA